rnacentral:miRNA from 1 species
UCGUGGGGGGAAACGGUGGAU